rnacentral:ncRNA from 1 species
UGGGACCUUCGGGGCCCUAUAACCAUCUCGGCGUCGCUAUCUAGAUGUCGGGGACAAGCAAAACGGAAGACAGAGA